UACGGAGGAUGCGAGCGUUAUCCGGAUUUAUUGGGUUUAAAGGGUGCGUAGACGGUCCGUUAAGUCAGCGGUAAAAUUGCGGGGCUCAACCCCGUCGAGCCGUUGAAACUGGCAGACUUGAGUUGGCGAGAAGUACGCGGAAUGCGCGGUGUAGCGGUGAAAUGCAUAGAUAUCGCGCAGAACUCCGAUUGCGAAGGCAGCGUACCGGCGCCAGACUGACGCUGAAGCACGAAAGCGUGGGUAUCGAACAGG
rnacentral:rRNA from 1 species